rnacentral:misc_RNA from 1 species
GGUGAAGGAUGAGGGCUCAGUGGCUACCAUUGGCAUCACUGACCAUGCUCAAGGCCAUCUAGGAGAUCUGGUGUUUGUGGAGCUCCCGGAGGCCGGGACCUCGGUCACGAAAGGUGCCAGCUUCGGGGCAGUGGAGAGUGUGAAGGCUACCAGUGAUGUGAACUCCCCAGUUUCUGGUGAAGUUGUGGAGGUCAACACUAAGCUCAGUGAAACUCCUGGCCUGAUUAAUUCGAGCCCGUACAAUGAUGGAUGGAUGAUCAAGAUUCGACCAAGUAGCUCAUCAGAGUUAGAUUCCUUGAUGGGACCAGAGGCGUACACAAAGUUUUGUGAAGAAGAAGAUGCGAGCCAUUAGAGCACUAUUAUUUGUGGCUUGUAGCCCUCUAACUUGUUUC